rnacentral:lncRNA from 1 species
CUCAUAUUCAUACAUAUAUAUAAUUGUAAAUCUGAUUCGAAACAAAUCAUAUAUAACUCAACAGUCUUAACAAUGACUACACUUAUCUCUGUGACAGGGCUCAGAAUAGAGUGUCAAUAUAUAAUUCUCAUUGACAGGAUCCUAAAAUCAAUACACAACCCUCAUUGGUAGGAUCUAAAAAUCAAUACACAACCUCCAUUAGCAGAGUCCAACAACCAAUAUAUCAUGCUCAAUGGUAGGGUCCAAAAAUCAAUGCAUAACCCCUAUUGACAGGGUUUAGGGCAUAGUU